CACAAGCGGUGGAUGAUGUGGAUUAAUUCGAUGCAACGCGAAGAACCUUACCUACCCUUGACAUGUCCGGAACUUGCCAGAGAUGGCUUGGUGCCCGAAAGGGAAUCGGAACACAGGUGCUGCAUGGCUGUCGUCAGCUCGUGUCGUGAGAUGUUGGGUUAAGUCCCGCAACGAGCGCAACCCUCGCCUUUAGUUGCCAGCAUUCAGUUGGGCACUCUAAAGGGACUGCCGGUGUCAAACCGGAGGAAGGUGGGAUGACGUCAAGUCCUCAUGGCCUUUAUGUCUAGGGCUACACACGUACUACAAUGGCAGGUACAAAGGGCAGCGACACAGCGAUGUGAUGCGAAUCCCGAAAAGCCUGUCUCAGUCCGGAUCGGAGUCUGCAACUCGACUCCGUGAAGUUGGAAUCGCUAGUAAUCGUGGAUCAGCAUGCCACGGUCGAAUACGUUCCCGGGCCUU
rnacentral:rRNA from 1 species